CGGAACUUAGCUGUGGAGGAGAGGAAAUAUCGUGCCUGAAGGACCUGUGUGAUGCUUUGGAGGAGGCUGAGCUGGAGGAGAGGUCACAUGUCACCCCAGUAAGGACUUGACCCCUGCACAGGAGUAUCUAGAAGAAUUGAUGCUGUUUUGAAGGCAAAGAGUGAUCUGCAUGAAAAGAUUCUGACAUGUGAAAUCCCCCUAAUAAGGAUUAUAGAAGAAAAUAGGUAGGAAGCCCACAACUAUAUUGGAGAUCCUCCUUUACAACUAAGAAUCUGUAACAAUCAUAAAAAGCAUUACAUCCAUGCUAUCUCCUGACUUUUCAAUUUUACCUGUAUCCGAAGCUGAAAUCGUUGCUUCAUGGAGUGAUGACUACCUCCCUGUUUUCUUCCUGGAGUUCUGAUGACACUUUAGGAUUACACCCCUGGACUUACUGAAAGGAAUACCAUAAACAAGACUGAUUAUG